rnacentral:rRNA from 1 species
AUUGAACGCUGGCGGCAUGCUUUACACAUGCAAGUCGAACGGUAACAGGCCGCAAGGUGCUGACGAGUGGCGAACGGGUGAGUAAUGCAUCGGAACGUGCCCAGUCGUGGGGGAUAACGCAGCGAAAGCUGCGCUAAUACCGCAUACGAUCUCUGGAUGAAAGCGGGGGACCGAAACGCCUCGCGCGUUUGGAGCGCCCGAUGUCAGAUUAGGUAUUUGGGGGGGUAAAGGCUCACCAAGCCAACGAUCUGUAGCUGGUCUGAGAGGACGACCAGCCACACUGGGACUGAGACACGGCCCAGACUCCUACGGGAGGCAGCAGUGGGGAAUUUUGGACAAUGGGCGCAAGCCUGAUCCAGCAAUGCCGCGUGCAGGAAGAAGGCCUUCGGGUUGGAAACUGCUUUUGUACGGAACGAAACGGUCCUGGUUAAUACCCGGGCUAAUGACGGUACCGUAAGAAUAAGCACCGGCUAACUACGUGCCAGCAGCCGCGGUAA